AAUUAAGAAGCUUUAAAAAGUAUUGAAUUUUUAAUUCAAUGGAUGACGCUUUCGUCCUUAAUUA
rnacentral:tRNA from 2 species